AUCUGUUCCCUCUUUUUCUCUCAUUUCUACCUCCCCCCACCCCCGGUGCCCUUGAGUUGCUUAGUUUGCUUUUUAUCAAUGUCUAUUGCAUCUGUUGAGCCCCCUCUCCUGUAUUUUUUUCACCUGCUUUCCACUUAUUCUGUGCCCUUUUCCCAGCUUCCCUCAGAUGUACACCAUAUGUGAGAUAAAGAACAUAGGGUCCUCUAAAUACUACAAGACUAAUUGAGAAGAGGUCCUUUGUUUCCUUAUCUUUGGAGUUCUUUUCAGUCUGUAUAUUAUUUUAGGUACAUAUGAAGUAGUGCUUGGGUCUUAGUUUUUGGUUGAUUUCUCCCAAGACUGUCGUUUUUCGGUCUUACUGUGUAUUGCUUUCGUCCUGCUUGCU